AGCCUUGGCCGAAGUGGUGGGCUGCUGUCCUCAUAAGCAUUGUGAGGGCAGCGGUUCUAGCCCCCACAAAAGUAUUGUGGGGGCUAAAUGUUCUUUAUACUCAUUCUCUCUUGCGAAAUGCGAGUGGAGUAUGGACAUCCCUCUCCUGUGAGGGGUUAUUUGUUUGGGCAUGUACUUUAUAGAAUUCAAUGUCAUAAUAUAUAAGUCCCAAUUAUGUAUAUCUGAUUGUAAAUAUCAGUAUAAUAUCUCUGCUACAAUAGCAGUUAUUGUAAAUAUCUGUGUAAUGCAGUAAUCUGAUGAUUAAUCAGUAUUAAAAAAAAAAAAGGAUCAAUCGUAGUAAAGUAUAAAAGGGGU
rnacentral:lncRNA from 1 species